rnacentral:rRNA from 1 species
ACUCCUACGGGAGGCAGCAGUGGGAAUAUUGCACAAUGGGCGCAAGCCUGAUGGAGCGACGCCGCGUGGAGGAUGAAGGCCUUGGGUCGUAAACUCCUGUCAUAAGAGAACAAGAAAGUGAUAGUAUCUUAAGAGGAAGAGACGGCUAACUCUGUGCCAGCAGCCGCGGUAAUACAGAGGUCUCAAGCGUUGUUCGGAUUCAUUGGGCGUAAAGGGUGCGCAGGCUGCGUGGUAAGUCGAAUGUGAAAUUUAGGGCUCAACCCCUAAACUGCAUCUGAUACUGCCAUGCUAGAGGACUGUAGAGGAGAUUGGAAUUCACGGUGUAGCAGUGAAAUGCGUAGAUAUCGUGAGGAAGACCAGUGGCGAAGGCGAAUCUCUGGGCAGGUCCUGACGCUCAUGCACGAAGGCUAGGGGAGCAAAC